rnacentral:rRNA from 1 species
UACGUAGGGGGCAAGCGUUGUCCGGAAUCAUUGGGCGUAAAGGGUGCGUAGGCGGCGCGGUAAGUCGGGUGUGAAAUCUCGGAGCUUAACUCCGAAACUGCAUUCGAUACUGCGGUGCUUGAGGACUGGAGAGGAGACUGGAAUUCAUGGUGUAGCAGUGAAAUGCGUAGAGAUCAUGAGGAAGACCAGUGGCGAAGGCGGGUCUCUGGACAGUUCCUGACACUGAGGCACGAAGGCCAGGGGAGCAAACGGG